AAUGCUGGUUUUAGUAGUCAUCGCCCGGAAAAAUUUCGAUAGUGGCCAUUUUAAAUUGUUUACUUUCAUUUUCCCGGGCGAUGACUACUAAGACCAGCAUU